rnacentral:antisense_RNA from 1 species
AUAAUUUUGAAACAUCACUCGUAUUAAUUAUUUCUUUUUCUAAGG